GGGCCCGCACAAGCGGAGGAGCAUGUGGCUUAAUUCGAUGCAACGCGAAGAACCUUACCAGGGCUUGACAUAUACCUGCAAGCCCCGUGAAAGCGGGGAAUCCUUCGAGGGUGGUAUACAGGUGCUGCAUGGCUGUCGUCAGUUCGUGCCGUGAGGUGUUUGGUUAAGUCCAGCAACGAACGCAACCCUUGUGUUUAGUUGCCACUCCUGGUGUUAAGCCAGGAAGCACUCUAAACAGACUGCCCGUGCAAGCGGGAGGAAGGUGGGGAUGACGUCAAGUCAGUAUGGCCCUUACGCCCUGGGCUGCACACGUGCUACAAUGACAGGUACAAUGGGAAGCUAUACCGCGAGGUGGAGCAAAUCCUCAAAACCUGCCUCAGUUCGGAUUGGAGUCUGCAACUCGACUCCAUGAAGUUGGAUUCGCUAGUAA
rnacentral:rRNA from 1 species